UGGGGAAUAUUGCACAAUGGGCGCAAGCCUGAUGCAGCCAUGCCGCGUGUGUGAAGAAGGCCUUCGGGUUGUAAAGCACUUUCAGCGAGGAGGAAGGUGGUGAACUUAAUACGUUCAUCAAUUGACGUUACUCGCAGAAGAAGCACCGGCUAACUCCGUGCCAGCAGCCGCGGUAAUACGGAGGGUGCAAGCGUUAAUCGGAAUUACUGGGCGUAAAGCGCACGCAGGCGGUUUGUUAAGUCAGAUGUGAAAUCCCCGGGCUCAACCUGGGAACUGCAUUUGAAACUGGCAAGCUAGAGUCUCGUAGAGGGGGGUAGAAUUCCAGGUGUAGCGGUGAAAUGCGUAGAGAUCUGGAGGAAUACCGGUGGCGAAGGCGGCCCCCUGGACGAAGACUGACGCUCAGGUGCGAAAGCGUGGGGCAGCAAACAGGAUUAGAUACCCUGGUAGUCCACGCUGUAAACGAUGUCGAUUUUGGAGGUUGUGCCCUUGAGGCGUGGCUUCCGGAGCUAACGCGUUAAA
rnacentral:rRNA from 1 species